CCUACGGGAGGCAGCAGUAGGGAAUCUUCCACAAUGGGCGCAAGCCUGAUGGAGCAACGCCGCGUGAGUGAAGACGGCCUUCGGGUUGUAAAGCUCUGUCUGUCGGGACGAAGACCGGCCCGGAAGGGCCGGGGAGCCGGUACCGACGGAGGAAGCCCCUGCAAACUACGUGCCAGCAGCCGCGGUAAGACGUAGGGGGCAAGCGUUGUCCGGAAUUACUGGGCGUAAAGGGCGUGUAGGCGGUGCGAUACGUAGCGGUUUUAAGCCUCCGGCUCACCCGGAGGAGGGCGGCUAAACGGUCGCGCUAGAGGGCAGGAGAGGUGCGUGGAAUUCCUGGUGGAGCGGUGAAAUGCGUAGAGAUCAGGAAGAACACCCGUGGCGAAGGCGGCGCACUGGCCUGGCCCUGACGCUGAGGCGCGACAGCGUGGGGAGCGAACGGGAUUAGAUACCCCGGUAGUCCACGCCGUAAACGAUGGGUACUAGGUGUCGCCCGGGUCCACCGGGCGGUGCCGGAGCUAACGCACUAAGUACCCCGCCUGGGGAGUACGGCCGCAAGGUUGAAACUCAAAGGAAUUGACGGGG
rnacentral:rRNA from 1 species